GACGAACGCUGGCGGCGUGCCUAAUACAUGCAAGUUGAGCGAUGAAGAUUGGUGCUUGCACCAAUUUGAAGAGCAGCGAACGGGUGAGUAACGCGUGGGGAAUCUGCCUUUGAGCGGGGGACAACAUUUGGAAACGAAUGCUAAUACCGCAUAACAACUUUAAACAUAAGUUUUAAGUUUGAAAGAUGCAAUUGCAUCACUCAAAGAUGAUCCCGCGUUGUAUUAGCUAGUUGGUGAGGUAAAGGCUCACCAAGGCGAUGAUACAUAGCCGACCUGAGAGGGUGGUCGGCCACAUUGGGACUGAGACACGGCCCAAACUCCUACGGGAGGCAGCAGUAGGGAAUCGUCGGCAAUGGACGAAAGUCUGACCGAGCAACGCCGCGGGAGUGAAGAAGGUUUUCGGAUCGUAAAACUCUGUUGGUAGAGAAGAACGUUGGUGAGAGUGGAAAGCUCAUCAAGUGACGGUAACUACCCAGAAAGGGACGGCUAACUACGUG
rnacentral:rRNA from 1 species